UAAAUAUUAAUAUAAAUAUUAGAUACCAAUGUAAAAGUAUAUGCAAAUCCAUUUGCUCAAUAAUGAAAAUUUGAAGAAACGGAAGAUUUUCAAGACAUGCAAAUAGUUGGUUUAGAAUGUGCGACGACGAUGCGGCCGUAUUUUUCCACAACGGUAGAGUCGUGUCAGGAGGCACAAUUGCGGAGGUUAGAAUCACGCGUGCGCGGUCGCUCGCGUUCUCUCGUGUAUCCAUAAUUGCGCUGCUUCCUGCGCGUGAAUACUGUUGUCCUACAUUUCGUUUCUAUUUAAAAAAAAGAAAAAAAUAAGGAACAGAAGGAUAUUCGUGGAAUAAGAUGGCAGUAAAGAAAGUUAAAUCGAAGAAGUCUGAAAAAGUGGAGCACAGGGAAAUUGGAGAAAAUGCAGCCAGGGAGAGAGA